AGAGUUUGAUCAUGGCUCAGGAUGAACGCUAGCGGCAGGCCUAAUACAUGCAAGUCGAACGGGCCUAGGUAGCAAUACUUAGGUUAGUGGCGCACGGGUGCGUAACGCGUAUGCAACCUACCUUUUAUUGGGGGAUAGCCCGAGGAAACUCGGAUUAAUACCGCAUAACACUAUUUGAGGGCAUCUGAGGAUAGUUAAAGCUGAGGCGAUAAGAGAUGGGCAUGCGUGCCAUUAGCUAGUUGGUGGUGUAACGGACCACCAAGGCAACGAUGGCUAGGGGUUCUGAGAGGAUGAUCCCCCACACUGGUACUGAGAUACGGACCAGACUCCUACGGGAGGCAGCAGUAGGGAAUAUUGGGCAAUGGGCGGAAGCCUGACCCAGCCAUGCCGCGUGCAGGAAGAAGGCCUUCUGGGUUGUAAACUGCUUUUAUCUAGGAAGAAAAUACCCUUGCGAGGGGAACUGACGGUACUAGGUGAAUAAGCACCGGCUAACUCCGUGCCAGCAGCCGCGGUAAUACGGAGGGUGCAAGCGUUGUCCGGAUUUAUUGGGUUUAAAGGGUGCGUAGGCGGCUUAGUAAGUCCGUGGUGAAAGCCAACAGCUCAACUGUUGAACUGCCAUGGAUACUGCUAGGCUUGAGUACAGACGAGGUAGGCGGAAUUGAUGGUGUAGCGGUGAAAUGCAUAGAUACCAUCAAGAACACCGAUUGCGAAGGCAGCUUACUAGGCUGUAACUGACGCUGAGGCACGAAAGCGUGGGGAGCGAACAGGAUUAGAUACCCUAGUAGUCC
rnacentral:rRNA from 1 species